CACAUUUGCAAAUGUACUGUGGAGAAAAAACAUAACUUUGCCAGAAACUGUAACAGAGAACUUUAGAUGUCUCAUUUUUUUAUUGACGACUAGAGUGAAGUCAAUUACUAUGCUAAGGAUAUUAUUUUUAACUUCUAUAUUAAAUGGAUUACCAAAACUUGAAUAACCAGAAUGCAAUUAGUAGUUAAUUGUUAUCCAGCAACAACACAGUGAGCCUGAAUGUGUAGUUAUUUUUGAAUUUGAAACAUCCUUCUUCUGUUUUGGGUCUCUCCUGAUGUUUUCGUGAGCCGCCUUGUACAUAUUAUCCAACUUCAAAUAAUAAAAUGUGUAGAUUAGUAGAACUUUAAACCUUAUGUAGUAAAUAUUGUUUUAAUUCAACAAAAUUGCUUAUUGUUAAAUGUAAUAUUUACAUACACAGAUUUUUUUUUUAUAUAAAUAU